rnacentral:rRNA from 1 species
AUUGAACGCUGGCGGCAUGCUUUACACAUGCAAGUCGGACGGCAGCACAGAGAAGCUUGCUUCUUGGGUGGCGAGUGGCGAACGGGUGAGUAAUAUAUCGGAACGUACCGAGUAAUGGGGGAUAACUAAUCGAAAGAUUAGCUAUACCGCAUAAUUCCCGAGGGGGGAAGGAGGGGAACUUCCGGCCCUGCCGUAUUCGAGCGGCCGAUAUCUGAUUAGCUAGUUGGUGGGGUAAAGGCCUACCAAGGCGACGAUCAGUAGCGGGUCUGAGAGGAUGAUCCGCCACACUGGGACUGAGACACGGCCCAGACUCCUACGGGAGGCAGCAGUGGGGAAUUUUGGACAAUGGGCGCAAGCCUGAUCCAGCCAUGCCGCGUGUCUGAAGAAGGCCUUCGGGUUGUAAAGGACUUUUGUCAGGGAAGAAAAGGCUGUUGCUAAUAUCGACAGCUGAUGACGGUACCUGAAGAAUAAGCACCGGCUAACUACGUG